UAGGGAAUCUUCCACAAUGGGCGAAAGCCUGAUGGAGCAACGCCGCGUGUGUGAUGAAGGGUUUCGGCUCGUAAAACACUGUUGUAAGAGAAGAAUGACAUUGAGAGUAACUGUUCAAUGUGUGACGGUAUCUUGCCAGAAAGGAACGGCUAAAUACGUGUCAG
rnacentral:rRNA from 1 species